CACGUAGGGCGCGAGCGUUGUCCGGAAUUAUUGGGCGUAAAGAGCUCGUAGGCGGCCUGUUGCGUCCGCUGUGAAAGCCCGGGGCUUAACCCCGGGUCUGCAGUGGAUACGGGCAGGCUAGAGGUAGGUAGGGGAGAAUGGAAUUCCCGGUGUAGCGGUGAAAUGCGCAGAUAUCGGGAGGAACACCGGUGGCGAAGGCGGUUCUCUGGGCCUUACCUGACGCUGAGGAGCGAGAGCGUGGGGAGCGAACAGG
rnacentral:rRNA from 1 species